rnacentral:rRNA from 1 species
AGCGAACGCUGGCGGCAGGCCUAACACAUGCAAGUCGAACGAAGUCUUCGGACUUAGUGGCGGACGGGUGAGUAACACGUGGGAACGUGCCUUUAGGUUCGGAAUAACUCAGGGAAACUUGUGCUAAUACCGAAUGUGCCCUUCGGGGGAAAGAUUUAUCGCCUUUAGAGCGGCCCGCGUCUGAUUAGCUAGUUGGUGAGGUAAAGGCUCAGCAAGGCUACGAUCAGUAGCUGGUCUGAGAGGAUGACCAGCCACAUUGGGACUGAGACACGGCCCAAACUCCUACGGGAGGCAGCAGUGGGGAAUCUUGCGCAAUGGGCGAAAGCCUGACGCAGCCAUGCCGCGUGGAUGAUGAAGGUCUCAGGAUUGUAAAAUCCUUUCACCGGUGAAGAUAAUGACUGUAGCCGGAGAAGAAGCCCCGGCUAACUUCUUGCCAGCCGCCGCGGUAACAC